rnacentral:rRNA from 1 species
UGGGGAAUUUUGGACAAUGGGGGAAACCCUGAUCCAGCCAUCCCGCGUGUGCGAUGAAGGCCUUCGGGUUGUAAAGCACUUUUGGCAGGAAAGAAACGUCAUGGGUUAAUACCCCGUGAAACUGACGGUACCUGCAGAAUAAGCACCGGCUAACUACGUGCCAGCAGCCGCGGUAAUACGUAGGGUGCAAGCGUUAAUCGGAAUUACUGGGCGUAAAGCGUGCGCAGGCGGUUCGGAAAGAAAGAUGUGAAAUCCCAGAGCUCAACUUUGGAACUGCAUUUUUAACUACCGGGCUAGGGUGUGUCAGAGGGAGGUGGAAUUCCGCGAGUAGCAGUGAAAUGCGUAGAUAUGCGGAGGAACACCGAUGGCGAAGGCAGCCUCCUGGGAUAACACUGACGCUCAUGCACGAAAGCGUGGGGAGCAAACAGG